rnacentral:rRNA from 1 species
UAGUCCACGCCGUAAACGCUGUCAACUCGUAGUCUGUGGCUUCGGCCGUGGGUUACCAAGCUAACGCGAUAAGUUGACCGCCUGGGGAGUACGGCCGCAAGGUUAAAACUCAAAUGAAUUGACGGGGGCCCGCACAAGCGGUGGAGCAUGUGGUUUAAUUCGAUGCAACGCGAAGAACCUUACCAGCCCUUGACAUCCUGGGAAUUUUGUAGAGAUACAUUAGUGCCUUCGGGAAUCCAGUGACAGGUGCUGCAUGGCUGUCGUCAGCUCGUGUCGUGAGAUGUUGGGUUAAGUCCCGCAACGAGCGCAACCCUUGUCCAUAGUUGCCAGCACUUCGGGUGGGAACUCUAUGGAGACUGCCGGUGAUAAACCGGAGGAAGGUGGGGAUGACGUCAAGGCAUCAUGGCCCUUAUGGGCUGGGCUACACACGUGCUACAAUGGUCGGUACAGAGGGUCGCAAACCCGCGAGGGGGAGCCAAUCCCAGAAAGCCGAUCUUAGUCCGGAUCGCAGU